rnacentral:rRNA from 1 species
GCCUAAUACAUGCAAGUCGAACGGUAAGGUCUCUUCGGAGAUACACGAGUGGCGCACGGGUGCGUAACGCGUAUGCAACCUACCUUGAGCUGGAAGAUAGCCCCGAGAAAUCGGGAUUAAUAUUCCAUAAUGUCCAUUUUUUGCAUAUGAGAUGGAUUAAAGUUACGGCGGUUCAAGAUGGGCAUGCGUGACAUUAGCUAGUUGGUGAGGUAACGGCUCACCAAGGCGACGAUGUCUAGGGGUCCUGAGAGGGUUUCCCCCCACACUGGUACUGAGACACGGACCAGACUCCUACGGGAGGCAGCAGUAAGGAAUAUUGGUCAAUGGACGCAAGUCUGAACCAGCCAUGCCGCGUGCAGGAUGACUGCCCUACGGGUUGUAAACUGCUUUUACGUGAGAAAAAACUCCCCGAUUCGUUCGGGGACUGAUGGUAUCACAUGAAUAAGCAUCGGCUAACUCCGUGCCAGCAGCCGCGGUAAUACGGAGGAUGCAAGCGUUAUCCGGAUUCAUUGGGUUUAAAGGGUGUGCAGGCGGAAUGAUAAGUCAGAGGUGAAAUCCCCCGGCUCAACCGGGGACCUGCCUUUGAUACUGUUGUUCUUGAGUAUAGUUGAAGUGGGCGGAAUGUGUCAUGUAGCGGUGAAAUGCAUAGAUAUGACACAGAACACCGAUAGCGAAGGCAGCUUCACUAACCUAUAACUGACGCUCAUGCACGAAAGCGUGGGGAGCAAACCAGGAUUAGAUACCCUGGUAAGUCCACGCUGUAAACUAUGAUCACUAGUUGUUAGCGAUACACUGUUAGCGACUGAGG